GGGGAUUUAGCUCAGCGGCAUAAGCGCCUGUCUUGCAAGCAGGAAGUCGUGAGUUCGGUCCCCA
rnacentral:tRNA from 1 species